rnacentral:lncRNA from 1 species
GUGUGGCAGCAGCCACAGUAGCUAAGUAAUCGUGUGGGUGUUGUUUCCAUUAUUUACAUACAUAACACUUUCACAAGAAUCCAAAUGUCUUACAAAAGAAAAUACAAAUUGCAGUAAAGACGCGAUAACACAGUAAGACACAAAGAAAACAAUUAUCCAAAGGAAGAUUUAAAUUUGGCACAAAUCAUUUGCACCAAAAGAAUAGAUAAGUAUCCAUAGACUGUUUGCACAGACAAAAGUAGGCAGGUGGUGGCAUUUGCCAGGGUCAGAAAAGUAGUUACAUGUAAAACAGAAGGAAAAGCAAUCAUUUAAAAUCUCUCAAAUCAGGAGUUCCCAUCCUGGCUCAGAGGUAACAACCUGAUGACUAAUUAUCCAGGUUCAAUCCCUGGCCUUGCUCACUGGGUUAAGGAUCUAGCAUUGCCGUGAGCUGUGGUGUAGGUUGCAGACACAGCUUGGAUCUGGCAUUGCUGUGGCUCUGUGUGGGCUGGCAGCUGCAGCUGUGAUUCACCCCUAGCCUGGCAACCUCCAUAUGCCACAGGUGCAGCCCUAAAAAAGACAAAAUAAAAUAAAAUAAAAUACAAUUGUCUCAAAGCAUUUUGAGAUUCAUGCUAUUUAAAGAAGUCAUUCCAAGUUUCUCAAGUUGCAUGAUGAUUUCAUUGAAUUAGUGGGGAUGGAUAAAUCUAUUAUUUUUCAAAAGGCACCCUUGGCCAAGUGAAAUCAAAGGUCUAAGAAGAAUUUACUCAAGACUAGCAAGAGUAUAUGGAUAGGAAAUAAAAGACACAUGGGGAAGGAACUAGUCAUUGCACCUUUCUGAAAGUCCACAUUUUCUCAGGAUAGACUUUAGUUGAUAAAUCAUGAAGCAACUCUAUUUGCAGUUAAUGUAAAAAACCCAGCUUUGAUGGACAUCAUGAACGUUCUCCAUGAGUUACUUUCAGGCUUACGCCUGACAUUAUGUCAUUAUUUCAACAGGGUUGAAUAAUUCCCACCAGCCAUUCCAGCUUUGGGAAAUCGGAAGACCUGGCACAGGGGAGAGAAUUUGCUCAGGAAAAAGGUCUAAAAAGUUGCAGAGGUUUAAAAUGGUCACGUGGCAAAAUCAACAAAUACUACUUCAUCCCUCUGAGGAUUCAGCUGUGGAAAAAGCAUCCGCUAGCUCAUCUCUAGGGUAGCUAUUCUUAGCUUGCUUUGAUUUCUCUCAUACGAUACGUACCCAUGCUUAUUAAGCUGUUUGUUUGC